CGGCGUGCUUAACACAUGCAAGUCGAACGAUGAAGCCUAGCUUGCUAGGUGGAUUAGUGGCGCACGGGUGAGUAAUAUAUAGAUAACGUGCCUCUUAGUCUGGGAUAGCCAUUGGAAACGAUGAUUAAUACUAGAUACUCCUUCUAACUCUAAUGUUAGUCGGGAAAGUUUUUCGCUAAGAGAUCGGUCUAUAUCCCAUCAGCUAGUUGGUAGUGUAAGAGACUACCAAGGCAAUGACGGGUAGCGGGUUUGAGAGGAUGAUCCGCCACACUGGUACUGAGACACGGACCAGACUCCUACGGGAGGCAGCAGUGAGGAAUAUUGCACAAUGGAGGAAACUCUGAUGCAGCAACGCCGCGUGGAGGAUGACGCAUUUCGGUGUGUAAACUCCUUUUAUAUGUCAAGAAAAUGACGGUAGCAUAUGAAUAAGCACCGGCUAACUCCGUGCCAGCAGCCGCGGUAAUACGGAGGGUGCAAGCGUUAUUCGGAAUCACUGGGCGUAAAGGACGCGUAGGCGGGAUGCCAAGUCUGAUGUGAAAUCCUAUGGCUUAACCAUAGAACUGCAUUGGAAACUGGUAACCUAGAGUAUGGGAGGGGGAGAUGGAAUUAGUGGUGUAGGGGUAAAAUCCGUAGAUAUCACUAGGAAUACCGAAAGCGAAGGCGAUCUCCUGGAACAAUACUGACGCUAAGGCGUGAAAGCGUGGGGAGCAAACGGGAUUAGAUACCCCGGUAGUCCACGCCCUAAACGAUGUUCACUAGUCGUCGGGAUGCUAGUCAUCUCGGUGAUGCACUUAACAGAUUAAGUGAACCGCCUGGGG
rnacentral:rRNA from 1 species